GGGUACGAUUUGCACUUAUGAACUGUGUGUAAUUAUGGUGAUUCAGGUUUUGGCUUAUAAUGAAUCCUCCAUCACAGUCUGUUUUCUCGGUCUUUUAUUUUCUGUUCCUCUAAGGGAAGAGAGACCAAAGAGAAUUCUACUUUGACCCUGGCUUAAGAGUGGAACAUAGAUGUCUAUAAAACUAUGUGGUAUGUACAUUUAUAAAAAUUUUAAUUUGCAUUUUCUCUAGGUUUUAUGUUUUUGGUGAUAACAGAAUAAAGUGUGCAUGCCAUCCAAGAUAAAUGGAUGAAGGAAGUUCACUUCUUUUUAAUUAUCUUAUACUGACAGAUAAAGCAAAAUAGAAAAAAAAUUCUGUAUUUAACCUUAACAAGCUGAGACACACUAGAGAAGUGGAAAAUAGAUUGUGUGCAUCUGAUCGUGCUGCACAUUCCCUUUAGGUUGCAAUCUCUGCUGUUAUUACCGACAACAACUGAGACUACAGUUUUAACUCUGUAUUUACUUCUAGUUAUCCCACAAUUGGUACAUAGUAUUGGAUGGAGCCCUGUAUUUCAAGGAGUUCAACUACCUAAUUUUCAUAGCUGAGAUAACUAAGUUUCUGAGUCCGUUUUCCUUUUUCCAGUCUGAUCUCUCCUUUUCUCAAGGCUACUUUCGUUUCUGAUAACAUACUAAAGGUUAUAGGAUUUAUCGGUAUUUUGCCUCCUGGGGUCAUUUGUUAUUAAAAAAGAAACUCUAUUCAAAUAACUGAAUCUCUACUAUUGGAUUUUCCAAAGUCUAUUAGGUACCAGCAUGUUAUGAAGAAUAAGCAAGAAGAAAGAGAAGGAGAAGAAGCAGGAGGAGGAGGAGAGAAGGAAAGGGAGGAGGAGGAGGAGAAAAAGAUGGUGGUAGAGGAGGAGGAGAAGAAGAAGAAGGAGGAGAAGGAGAAGGAGAAGAAGGAGCAGGAGGAGGAGGAAGAAGAAGAAGAGGAGAAGGGAACUCACAUGUAAGUUACAGGUAUUUUUGUAUUCAUGUUAUACAUUAAAGAAGCUGAAAUUGAAGUUGUGAGAGGGAGGGAUUAAAAUUAGGCAACUAUUUUACAAAACAAUACUUGCGUGUCACUUUGCUCAGUAAUGUCUUUUUAGCCAUGUGGAUUUUUAGUUCAUCAAGUCUAAUUCUCUUGUAUCCUUUAUUGCAGGCUACCUGUGUGAGUCACAUGUCAGUGCAAUUUCUGGAGGUCAAUUGUAGCCCUGAAGUCUCAGAACAAUGGCAAAAAGAAAUACGGAGGGCAUGAUACAUUUGGUAAGUGCCUUAUGUAAACCACAGAAAAUGAUAGAGGCAAUUUUUUUCUUUCCUAAGGCUGGUGAUUUAUUGCAUACUUCUUGUCACGGAAUAGAUAACAUAGGAGGACAGGAAGAAAUUUGCUAGUUUACACAGUGCCCCCUGAAAAUAAUUCAUCGAAUUGGGCUCCUUUGGAAACAUUCACAUAUUCUGCAUGUAUUUUUACCAGACACAUUUAGCAUCGUAAUGGCAUAAUAAAAGCUAUCAUUUGGGAAAUAUACACAUUGCUCCUAUCUGAGUGCACAGUGGUGUUGGUAGGUACUGAGGGAGGAAGAGACACAUGUGCCCUGAGGAAGUCUCUGUUUUGUCUCCAUGCACAUUUAAGUCUUUUACACAUUUGAGAAGGGACUGGGAGAGGAGCAUGGGGGAAGGGGGCUGGAUGUGGCUGGCAUCUUCUAAGAUUUAUGAACUGCUAAAUUUAGAAAUGUCAUUUUGUUAUUGCCAGUGAACUGCUAGCAUCUUCGUAUGAGUCACUAAGAAAAAAUAGCAAUCACCUCCUUUGCAAGAGCUAGUAUGCUUGUUCACUGAUGACAGUAUGACUUUCGCAAGUAGAUCAGAGAGAGAUUUCAGUGUCUGCAUGUGGUGUGCUAUCUCUUUCAUCUGGUCACAGGAAGCAGCAGGCACUUUUUUUUUUUUUAACGUAGAGAAACCUAGGUUCUGUUUCUCCUCUUUUUCCUGAUUCUCCAUCUUUUCUUUUUUUCCUUCCCAUUUUCUUUCUCUCCAUCUUUUUUAGUGGAACUUCCACAUCUUCAGGUGAGACCUCUAGACAGUAACCACCAAAUGAUUGUGAGAGGUGAAGCCAGCUGGACUUCCUGGGUCAAGUGGGGAGUUGGAGAACUUUUCUGUCUGGCUAGAGGAUUAUAAAUGCACCAAUCAGCACUCUGGAAAAAUGCACCAAUCAGCACUCUGUGUCUAGCUAAAGGAUUGUAAAGGCACCAUUCAGUACUCUGUAAAAAUGCACAAAUCAGCACUCUGUGUCUAGCUAAAGGAUUGUAAAUGCACCAAUCACCACUCUGUAAAAACGCACCAAUCAGCGCUCUGUGUCUAGCUAAAAUAAACGCACCAAUCAGCACUCUGUAAAAUGGACCAAUCAGCGCUCUGUAAAAUGGACCAAUCAGCAGGACGUGGACGGGGCCAAAUAAGGGAAUAAAAGCUGGCCACGCAAGCUAGCAGCGGCAAUCCUCUCGGGUAGCCUUCCGCUCUGUGGAAGCUUUGUUCUUUUGCUGUUCAUGAUAAAUCUUGCUGCUGCUCACUCUUUGGGUCCGCACUACCUUUAUGAGCUGUAACACUCAACACGAGGGUCUGCGGCUUCAUUCCUGAAGUCUGCGAGACCAGGAACCCACCGGGAGGAACAAACAACUCUGGACACACCACCUUUAAGAGCUGUGACAAUCACUUGCGAAAGUCUGCAACUUCACUCCUGAAGUCAGCAAGACCGUGAACCCACCAGAAGGAAGAAACUCGGGACACAUCUGAAUAUCUGAAGGAGAAAACACUCCAGACACACCGUCCUUAAGAACUGUAACACUCACUGCGAGGGUCAGCGGCUUCAUUCUUGAAGUCAGUGAGACCAAGAACCCACCGGAAGGAACCAAUUCUGGAGACAAUUGGAGCUUUGAAAACUAUUUAACUAAA
rnacentral:lncRNA from 1 species